AGCGAACGCUGGCGGCAGGCCUAACACAUGCAAGUCGAACGAACCCUUCGGGGUUAGUGGCGGACGGGUGAGUAACACGUGGGAACGUGCCUUUAGGUUCGGAAUAACUCAGGGAAACUUGUGCUAAUACCGAAUGUGCCCUUCGGGGGAAAGAUUUAUCGCCUUUAGAGCGGCCCGCGUCUGAUUAGCUAGUUGGUGAGGUAAUGGCUCACCAAGGCUACGACCAGUAGCUGGUCUGAGAGGAUGAUCAGCCACAUUGGGACUGAGACACGGCCCAAACUCCUACGGGAGGCAGCAGUGGGGAAUCUUGCGCAAUAGGCGAAAGCCUGACGCAGCCAUGCCGCGUGAAUGAUGAAGGUCUUAGGAUUGUAAAAUUCUUUCACCGGGGACGAUAAUGACGGUACCCGGAGAAGAAGCCCCGGCUAACUUCGUGCCAGCCGCCGCAGUAAUAC
rnacentral:rRNA from 1 species